rnacentral:rRNA from 1 species
ACGAACGCUGGCGGCGUGCUUAACCCCUGCAAGUCGCACGGAAAGGCCCUGCUUUUGUGGGGUGCUCGAGUGGCGAACGGGUGAGUAACACGUGAGUAACCUGCCCUUGACUUUGGGAUAACUUCAGGAAACUGGGGCUAAUACCGGAUAGGAGCUCCUGCUGCAUGGUGGGGGUUGGAAAGUUUCGGCGGUUGGGGAUGGACUCGCGGCUUAUCAGCUUGUUGGUGGGGUAGUGGCUUACCAAGGCUUUGACGGGUAGCCGGCCCGAGAGGGUGACCGGCCACAUUGGGACUGAGAUACGGCCCAGACUCCUACGGGAGGCAGCAGUGGGGAAUAUUGCACAAUGGGCGGAAGCCUGAUGCAGCAACGCCGCGUGCGGGAUGACGGCCUUCGGGUUGUAAACCGCUUUCGCCUGUGACGAAGCGUGAGUGACGGUAAUGGGUAAAGAAGCACCGGCUAACUACGUG